GUAUCAUUACCGGAACAACCCAAGCCUCUCUACUCUACAAGAACAUGUCAAGUCAUUAGUUAAUUAAUGGUAAUGUUAAUUGAUUGCAUUUGGUGUAAGAGAAAUAUCCAAAUUCCAAACUAUAAAUUUGAAAGUUUGUAAUGUGAUGGCGAUUUUCGCAAGUGUACGAAAUCGUGCAAGUAGUAAAAUUAAAACGGUAAGACCGAGUGUCGAACUCAAGGAUCGCGUUAUACUGUUGAAUUGUGAUUUUUACUCGAUUGAACAAAAGGUUUCAGUUUGAUUGGUUGCAAUAACAAUAAUAAUAACAACGAAAAUUACUUUGUAUUUGAUAAUAAUAAAAAUGUUAGGAUGAGUUUCACUAGACUCCUAUUUUGAGUUUCUGACUUGACUAU
rnacentral:lncRNA from 1 species